rnacentral:rRNA from 1 species
CAUACCGGUCGCGGACACAGAGAUGUGUCUUUCAGUUCGGCUGGACCGGAUACAGGUGCUGCAUGGCUGUCGUCAGCUCGUGUCGUGAGAUGUUGGGUUAAGUCCCGCAACGAGCGCAACCCUCGCCCUUAGUUGCCAGCAUUAGUUGGGCACUCUAAGGGGACUGCCGGUGAUAAGCCGAGAGGAAGUGGGGAUGACGUCAAGUCCUCAUGGCCCUUACGGGCUGGGCUACACACGUGCUACAAUGGUGGUGACAGUGGGCAGCGAGCACGCGAGUGUGAGCUAAUCUCCAAAAGCCAUCUCAGUUCGGAUUGCACUCUGCAACUCGAGUGCAUGAAGUUGGAAUCGCUAGUAAUCGUGAAUCAGAAUGUCACGGUGAAUACGUUCCCGGGCCUU